GACGAACGCUGGCGGCGUGCUUAACACAUGCAAGUCGAACGGAAAGGCCCUGCUUUUGUGGGGUGCUCGAGUGGCGAACGGGUGAGUAACACGUGAGUAACCUGCCCUUGACUUUGGGAUAACUUCAGGAAACUGGGGCUAAUACCGGAUAGGAGCUCCUGCUGCAUGGGGGGGGUGGGAAAGUUUCGGCGGUUGGGGAUGGACUCGCGGCUUCUCAGCUUGUUGGUGGGGUAGUGGCUUACCAAGGCUUUGACGGGUAGCCGGCCUGAGAGGGUGACCGGCCCCACUGGGACUGAGCUACGGCCCAGCCUCCUACGGGAGGCAGCAGUGGGGAAUAUUGCACAAUGGGCGGAAGCCUGAUGCAGCAACGCCGCGUGCGGUAUGACGGCCUUCGGGUUGUAUACCGCUUUCGUCUGUGACGAAGCGUGAGUGACGGUAAUGGGUAAAGAAGCACCGGCUAACUACGUG
rnacentral:rRNA from 1 species